UGCAGUCGAACGGUGAAGCCAAGCUUGCUUGGUGGAUCAGUGGCGAACGGGUGAGUAACACGUGAGCAACCUGCCCUGGACUCUGGGAUAAGCGCUGGAAACGGCGUCUAAUACUGGAUAUGAGACGUGAUCGCAUGGUCGUGUUUGGAAAGAUUUUUCGGUCUGGGAUGGGCUCGCGGCCUAUCAGCUUGUUGGUGAGGUAAUGGCUCACCAAGGCGUCGACGGGUAGCCGGCCUGAGAGGGUGACCGGCCACACUGGGACUGAGACACGGCCCAGACUCCUACGGGAGGCAGCAGUGGGGAAUAUUGCACAAUGGGCGGAAGCCUGAUGCAGCAACGCCGCGUGAGGGAUGACGGCCUUCGGGUUGUAAACCUCUUUUAGCAGGGAAGAAGCGAAAGUGACGGUACCUGCAGAAAAAGCGCCGGCUAACUACGUGCCAGCAGCCGCGGUAAUACGUAGGGCGCAAGCGUUAUCCGGAAUUAUUGGGCGUAAAGAGCUCGUAGGCGGUUUGUCGCGUCUGCUGUGAAAUCCCGAGGCUCAACCUCGGGCCUGCAGUGGGUACGGGCAGACUAGAGUGCGGUAGGGGAGAUUGGAAUUCCUGGUGUAGCGGUGGAAUGCGCAGAUAUCAGGAGGAACACCGAUGGCGAAGGCAGAUCUCUGGGCCGUAACUGACGCUGAGGAGCGAAAGGGUGGGGAGCAAACAGGCUUAGAUACCCUGGUAGUCCACCCCGUAAACGUUGGGAACUAGUUGUGGGGACCAUUCCACGGUUUCCGUGACGCAGCUAACGCAUUAAGUUCCCCGCCUGGGGAGUACGGCCGCAAGGCUAAAACUCAAAGGAAUUGACGGGGACCCGCACAAGCGGCGGAGCAUGCGGAUUAAUUCGAUGCAACGCGAAGAACCUUACCAAGGCUUGACAUAUACGAGAACGGGCCAGAAAUGGUCAACUCUUUGGACACUCGUAAACAGGUGGUGCAUGGUUGUCGUCAGCUCGUGUCGUGAGAUGUUGGGUUAAGUCCCGCAACGAGCGCAACCCUCGUUCUAUGUUGCCAGCACGUAAUGGUGGGAACUCAUGGGAUACUGCCGGGGUCAACUCGGAGGAAGGUGGGGAUGACGUCAAAUCAUCAUGCCCCUUAUGUCUUGGGCUUCACGCAUGCUACAAUGGCCGGUACAAAGGGCUGCAAUACCGUGAGGUGGAGCGAAUCCCAAAAAGCCGGUCCCAGUUCGGAUUGAGGUCUGCAACUCGACCUCAUGAAGUCGGAGUCGCUAGUAAUCGCAGAUCAGCAACGCUGCGGUGAAUACGUUCCCGGGUCUUGUACACACCGCCCGUCAAGUCAUGAAAGUCGGUAACACCUGAAGCCGGUGGCCCAACC
rnacentral:rRNA from 1 species